rnacentral:rRNA from 1 species
AGUCUCAGUUCGGAUCGCAGGCUGCAACUCGCCUGCGUGAAGUUGGAAUUGCUAGUAAUCGCGGAUCAGCAUGCCGCGGUGAAUACGUUCCCGGGCCUUGUACACACCGCCCGUCACACCAUGAGAGUUGGGGAUACCCGAAGCCUGUGAGCUAACUUUUAGAGGCAGCAGUCGAAGGUAGAAUCAAUGAUUGGGGUGAAGUCGUAACAAGGUACC